rnacentral:sRNA from 1 species
UAGACAAAAGGAAGCAGAUAUGUAUCGCAUCAAAGAUAAGGCAGACAGAGCAACUGUAGAACAGGUGUUGGAUCCCAGAACAAGAAUGAUUUUAUUCAAGAUGUUGACUAGAGGAAUCAUAACAGAGAUAAAUGGCUGCAUUAGCACAGGAAAAGAAGCUAAUGUAUACCAUGCUAGCACAGCAAAUGGAGAGAGCAGAGCAAUCAAAAUCUAUAAAACUUCUAUUUUGGUGUUCAAAGAUCGGGAUAAAUAUGUAAGUGGAGAAUUCAGGUAAGUUCAGAUUUUUCCCUCCAGUUGGUUUAAUUUCUAUUUCCUAAAACAUUAAAACAAUAAUGGAAUGAUUGAAAUAAUAAACAUUUUUCUUAUUCAAGAUUUCGUCAUGGCUAUUGUAAAGGAAACCCUAGGAAAAUGGUGAAAACUUGGGCAGAAAAAGAAAUGAGGAACUUAAUCAGGCUAAACACAGCAGAGAUACCAUGUCCAGAACCAAUAAUGCUAAGAAGUCAUGUUCUUGUCAUGAGUUUCAUCGGUAAAGAUGACAUGCCUGCACCACUCUUGAAAAAUGUCCAGUUAUCAGAAUCCAAGGCUCGGGAGUUGUACCUGCAGGUCAUUCAGUACAUGAGAAGAAUGUAUCAGGAUGCCAGACUCGUCCAUGCAGAUCUCAGUGAAUUUAACAUGCUGUACCACGGUGGAGGCGUGUAUAUCAUUGAUGUGUCUCAGUCCGUGGAGCACGACCACCCACAUGCCUUGGAGUUCUUGAGAAAGGAUUGCACCAACGUCAAUGAUUUCUUUAUGAAGCACAGUGUUGCUGUCAUGACUGUGCGGGAGCUCUUUGCAUUUGUCACAGAUCCAUCCAUUACACAGGAGAACAUGGAUGCUUAUCUCUCAAAGGCCAUGGAAAUAGCAUCUCAAAGGACCAAGGAAGAACGGUCUAGCCAAGAUCAUGUGGAUGAAGAGGUGUUUAAGCGAGCAUAUAUUCCUAGAACCUUGAAUGAAGUGAAAAAUUAUGAGAGGGAUAUGGACAUAAUUAUGAAAUUGAAGGAAGAGGACAUGGCCAUGAAUGCCCAACAAGAUAAUAUUCUAUACCAGACUGUUACAGGAUUGAAGAAAGAUUUGUCAGGAGUUCAGAAGGUCCCUGCACUCCUAGAAAAUCAAGUGGAGGAAAGGACUUGUUCUGAUUCAGAAGAUACUGGAAGCUCUGAGUGCUCUGACACAGACUCUGAAGAGCAGGGAGACCAUGCCCGCCCCAAGAAACACACCACGGACCCUGACAUUGAUAAAAAAGAAAGAAAAAAGAUGGUCAAGGAAGCCCAGAGAGAGAAAAGAAAAAACAAAAUUCCUAAACAUGUGAAAAAAAGAAAGGAGAAGACAGCCAAGACGAAAAAAGGCAAAUAGAAUGAGAACCAUAUUAUGUACAGUCAUUUUCCUCAGUUCCUUUUCUCGCCUGAACUCUAAGCUGCAUCUGGAAGAUGGCUUAUUGGUUUUAACCAGAUUGUCAUCGUGGCACUGUCUGUGAAGACGGAUUCAAAUGUUUUCAUGUAACUAUGUAAAAAGCUCUAAGCUCUAAGUCUAGAUCCAGUCACUGACUCUGUCUGGUGUUGACAGAGGAUUUAUUUAAGCUAUUAUUUUAAUAAAGAACUUUGUACAUUUUUAUUUUUAUAUUUUUUUCUCUUACAAAUAUGUUUUUGGAAGCAUGAUGAAUGUUUAAAUGUAGUCAACAUCUGUAACUCUUACAUGAGUGUCCAGAGGCACUCAUGGGAAAAUUGGUUUUGCUUUCUUUGUACACACCAGAGACCCAUCUGAGAUCAUCUGAUUAUAAGGCCAUGUUUAUAUAAAGGGAAUUUCACCCACAGUUCAGCUGGCUGUUGAUUUUCACUGCAACUCUGCCUUUGUGUGUAUUGGCGAUCAUUUGUAAUGCUCUUACACUUCGUCUUUAAUGUUCUUUUUGGAGUUAGGACCUCUCAGUUCAUAAAGUUUUUUACAUUCAA